GAUGAGCGUCCUGCCCGGGGUGCCCUGCGGGCUUGUCCUGGCGGGAAGGCGCUUCACCCCGGCCUGAGAGGGGAGAGAGAGUCAGAAAACCAAAAGUGCUGGUGGAAGAAUGCAGGGGUAACUAGCAGCAGUUUAAACAGCCACGCUGCCCUAAAGCCGAGAGAGAAGCCCAGAGCCGGAGGCCGCCGAGAAAGAAGCGCUGGGGAUUCAAGAGGAGCGCUGCCCUGAAAAGUAGAGCUCUCUUUGCGAGGACGAAAACCGAAACGAGAUGGAGUGGUGAGUAAAGCCGUCUUCUAGGCCAGUAAUUUUUCCCAUAUUGGAAAAGCAGCCUUUCCCUAACAACCGAGAAAAGUUCUGCGAAAAUGCCCAUCAAUGUACCCCCUUACCUCUGCUUUCGGCGCAGUCGCCUUCUGCCUUUUCUUGGGAACCUUUCUCUUCGGCUGCAAAGGCAGCGCUGAGGUAUUUUUCCAGCCGGAGGUGUCGGGAACUGAGCUGCCAUACCGGGCAGACUGGGGAUAAGCGAGGCGGUCAAAAGAAUUGGUCCAGUUUUGUCUCGUAUACAACUGAAAGAGGCGCCUUAACGCAAAUAAUCGCCACUCCCCCCUUCCUUGGGAGAGAUUCACUAUGGGGCUUGGGAUAACUCCAAUUCAAAACAAGCCCCCAACGGCGCUCUUAGUGGAUGUUGGUAUUCCUUUUGACGUGCUGAUCUGACUUUUCUGAGUAUAAAAUCCAUAUGGAACAAAGGAAAAUUGCUUCGGAGUAAAUCUGCGCGACCGUAAUCUCCGAUGGAGUACUGAACACGAAAUCAACUCCAGAGAAAAGCAGACCCCUCCUUUUCCAAAAAGAAAUAUUUUCGUUGGAAUUAGGUUGCUAAACAGUUGCAAGAGCUGGUCUCUCCGAGCCUUGUUCAUAUGCAGCCUGCUGGUGCCGCGGCUGAAACAGCUAGGCAGCCCCCGCAGAGUGGCGAGCAGCAUUUUUUUUAACCUCUGCGCCGAGACAGCCGGUACUUCAGAUCGUCCUUGUCCAUUCAUCUCCUGUCCACAGCGUUUAUGGCCUAAAAAGAGGAACUUCAAUCCACCUUCCUUUGUCAGUAUAAACCGAUUAUUCAACACACACGCGUGCGCGCCCGCUCACACAUACACAAAAGAAACGUGCCUCAAAACGUUAGGGACUGUAGAUGAACGAUCAGAAUUCUGCAGCUUUUCCAAUAUCGGAUAUUGUCUUCAGAAAGUGGUUUUCUGCCGGGGCUGUGUGGGUCCCAGUCAUGUCUACCAUAAAGUAAAAACGACUGGGUUUAGUCGACUUCAACUCUAAUUUAUGGCUCAAGAGACUAGGAUUAACUUCACUUCCUCUCACUGGAUACUGUACUAUAGGAAGCGCCUCAGUGAAAUGUGAGAGGUGAAUCGGUUGCACUUCAUGGAUAUUAAGUCUAAAAACAUUCCUACUCACGAGUAAGUUUCAGGUACCAGGAUUUUCUUGAAAGGGUAUUUUGUGCACAAGACAAUCGCUGAUUAUUUAAAUCUUUGCGGACAUCAGAUCACCCUCCUGUCCUGUGUAUUUUUAAUUUAAAAAAAUAAAUCCUACCAACCCUAUUACUCCUGAAUAAAUAAGUACUAUAUAACAAGAAUGCAGCCACGGUAAUAAUUAUUUGAUCGGCAAGCCUUCAUCGAUUUGCAGUAGGAUUUAUCCCAUCGCAAACUACAAACAAAACGAUUACUUAACAGAGAACUUUUCACGGGUUUUGACCGGAGGAAGACCCUCCUUAUUCUAUGCUCCUAAUAUUUCCAAAUGAUGAAAUAUGCGCUUUUGCAAUACAUUGUCCUGUUAUAGCCAUUUAUAAACAAAUACCUUGCUGUUAAGGUUCACUAGAAUGGAGGUGCUGCCAUGGUGUUAAAAAAAUUCGGCCAGGAAAGGUGCUGUAUCUGAUCUCUGCUUAGAAUCAGGGAGAAGCAGCAAGAGCGGAGGAGGAAUAGGUUACAGUACUGCUAAACUUACCCGGCCCAGAGAAAUAUAUGAAGUCUCUUGCCUCGCCUUGUCUCCUCCUCAGAAGAUGGCUGCCUAAUUGAACUGAGCCCUGAGUUUGGAAGAUCACACUGAAAGAUGGGGAUAAUAUUGCUCUUCCUUUAUGAAUGUAAAUCGCUCUCCGUUCUGAAGGUUGCCCAACGGAGUCCUUGAGCCCAGUAGCCUCUUUUCUUCUACCCUCUCCCCCUCCCCUUUCUUUUGACAGUAUCCAGAUCCAGUGCUAGGAAACUUUAAGACUCUGAGUUGGGUGUGUAACUGCUAGAUUCUUCACUGCUACGUGGUGGAACAUUUAUUAAAGCAAAUGACCGUC